UACAGAGGUCUCAAGCGUUGUUCGGAUUCAUUGGGCGUAAAGGGUGUGUAGGUGGCGCCGUAAGUCGAGUGUGAAAUUUCGGAGCUUAACCCCGAAACUGCAUUCGAUACUGCGGUGCUUGAGGACUGGAGAGGAGACUGGAAUUCAUGGUGUAGCAGUGAAAUGACGUAGAGAUCAUGAGGAAGACCAGUGGCGAAGGCGGGUCUCUGGACAGUUCCUGACACUGAGACACGAAGGCCAGGGGAGCAAACGGG
rnacentral:rRNA from 1 species